UACGGGGGGGGCAAGCGUUGUUCGGAAUUACUGGGCGUAAAGGGCUCGUAGGCGGCCAACUAAGUCAGACGUGAAAUCCCCAGGCUCAACCUGGGAACUGCGUCUGAUACUGGAUGGCUUGAAUCCGGAAGAGGGAUGCAGAAUUCCAGGUGUAGCGGUGAAAUGCGUAGAUAUCUGGAGGAAUACCGGUGGCGAAGGCGGCAUCCUGGACCGGCAUUGACGCUGAGGAGCGAAAGCCAGGGGAGCAAACGGG
rnacentral:rRNA from 1 species